rnacentral:rRNA from 1 species
GACGAACGCUGGCGGCGUGCUUAACACAUGCAAGUCGAGCGGUAAGGCCCUUUCGGGGGUACGACGAGCGGCGAACGGUGAGUAACACGUGGGUGACCUGCCCUCAGCUCUGGGAUAAAGCCCGGGAAACUGGGUCUAAUACCGGAUAUGACUCCAUGACGCAUGUUGUGGGGUGGAAAGCCUUGUGCGGCUGAGGAUGGGCCCGCGGCCUAUCAGC